CCCAAGGGUAUGGCUGUUCGCCAUUUAAAGCGGUACGUGAGCUGGGUUUAGAACGUCGUGAGACAGUUCGGUCCCUAUCUACCGUGGGAGUAGGAGAUUUGAGAGGAUUUGCCCUUAGUACGAGAGGACCGGGGUGAACGAACCUCUGGUGGACCUGUUGUUGCGCCAGCAGCAUAGCAGGGUAGCUAAGUUCGGAACGGAUAACCGCUGAAAGCAUCUAAGCGGGAAACCAGCCUCAAUACUAGAUCUCCCUUGAGAGUCGUCCAAGACCAGGACGUUGAUAGGUCAGGUGUGGAAGCGUCGUAAGACGUGAAGCUUACUGAUACUAAUAACUCGAUUGACUUGAUUCCC
rnacentral:rRNA from 1 species